rnacentral:sRNA from 1 species
AGCUCUCGCGGCAGUCGCCUUAGACUAAAGGGUGUUGCUUGGCCGCCGCCUGGUAGUCCGGCGAUUAGUUUCUUGCUCGGCCUCCUGGAGCUGUGGUCCGUGUGGGCUUCCACCUCAGACACUUGCGCUGGCUCAGCGGGGCCGGAACAUGGCUGCGUCGGGUCUGGAUCAUCUCAAAAAUGGCUACAGAAGAAGAUUUUGUAGACCUUCCAGGGCACGUGACCUUAACACAGAGCAAGGCCAGAAUGUUCUGGAAAUCUUACAAGACUGUUUUGAAGAAAAAAGUCUUGCCAAUGAUUUUAGUACAAAUUCUACAAAAUCAGUGCCUAAUUCAACACGCAAAAUAAAAGACACUCGUAUUCAGUCACCAAGCAAAGAGUGCCAGAAAUCACAUUCAAAGUCAGUUCCAGUUUCUUCAAGGAAUAAAGAAGCCUCUCUGCAGUCUGUUGUAGAAUCAAGUGAAGCCACAAACAGAUCAGUGCAGGCCCAUGAAGUUCGUCAGAAAAUUCUGGCAACUGGUGUUAGUUCCAAAAAUACACCUGACUCAAAAAAAAAGUCAAGUAGAAACAUAAAUGAUCAUCACAGUGAAGCUGAUGAAGAAUUUUACUUAUCUGUUGGCUCACCUUCUGUUCUUUUGGAUGCAAAAACAUCUGUAUCGCAAAAUGUUAUUCCAUCUAGUGCCCAAAAGAGAGAGACUUACACUUUUGAAAAUUCAGUAAAUAUGCUGCCUUCAAGUACAGAGGUUUCAGUUAAAACCAAAAAAAGGUUAAACUUUGAUGAUAAAGUUAUGUUAAAGAAAAUAGAAAUAGAUAAUAAAGUAUCAGAUGAAGAGGAUAAAACAUCAGAAGGACAAGAAAGAAAACCAUCAGGAUCAUCUCAGAAUAGAAUACGAGAUUCAGAAUAUGAAAUUCAACGACAAGCUAAAAAAAGUUUUUCAACAUUGUUUUUAGAAACAGUAAAACGAAAAAGUGAAUCCAGUCCCAUUGUUAGGCAUGUGGCAACUGCUCCACCUCAUUCGUGUCCUCCCGAUGAUACGAAGUUGAUAGAGGAUGAAUUUAUAAUUGAUGAGUCAGAUCAAAGUUUUGCCAGUAGAUCUUGGAUUACAAUACCAAGAAAGGCAGGGCCUCUGAAACAACGCACAGUAUCCCCGGCUGAGAGCACUGCACUCCUUCAAGGCAGAAAGUCAAGAGAAAAGCAUCAUAAUAUAUUACCUAAGACUCUGGCAAAUGACAAACAUUCCCAUAAACCUCACCCAGUAGAGACAUCUCAGCCCUCUGAUAAAACAGUACUGGAUACAAGUCAUGCUUUGAUAGGUGAAACAGAAAAUAAUUAUAGAUCUACAAAAUAUGAAAUGUAUUCCAAGAAUGCAGAAAAACCAUCUAGAAGCAAAAGGACUAUAAAACAAAAACAGAGAAGAAAAUUUAUGGCUAAACCAGCUGAAGAACAGCUUGAUGUGGGGCAGUCUAAAGAUGAAAACAUACAUACAUCACAUAUUACCCAAGACGAAUUUCAAAGAAAUUCAGACAGAAAUAUGGAAGAGCGUGAAGAGAUGGGAAAUGAUUGUGUUUCCAAAAAACAGAUGCCACCUGUGGGAAGCAAGAAAAGUAGCACUAGAAAAGAUAAGGAAGAAUCUAAAAAGAAGCGCUUUUCCAGUGAGUCCAAGAACAAACUUGUACCUGAAGAAGUGACUUCAACUGUCACUAGAAGUCGAAGAAUUUCCAGGCGUCCAUCUGAUUGGUGGGUGGUAAAAUCAGAGGAGAGUCCUGUUUAUAGCAAUUCUUCAAUAAGAAAUGAAUUACCAGUGCCUCACAACAGUAGGCAAAAAUCGGCUAAGAAAACAAAAGAGUCAUCUAAGAAUAUUAGGAAAAAAACUAUUCCACUUAAAAGGCAGAAGACAGCAACUAAAGGCAACCAAAGAAUACAGAAGUUGUUAAAUGCUGAAGGUUCUGGAGUUAUCGUUGGUCAUGAUGAAAUUUCCAGAUGUUCGCUGAGUGAGCCAUUGGAAAGUGAUGAGGCAGACUUGGCUAAGAAGAAAAAUCUUGAUUGUUCUAGAUCUACAAGAAGCUCAAAGAAUGAAGAUGAUAUUAUGACUGCACAGAAUGUUCCCCUAAAGCCUCAGACCAGUGGAUAUACAUGUAAUAUACCAACAGAGUCAAACUUGGAUCCUGGAGAGCAUAAGACUUCAGUUUUAGAGGAAAGUGGACCUUCCAGGCUCAAUAAUAAUUAUUUAAUGUCUGGAGAGAAUGAUGUGGAUGAUGAGGAAGUUCAUGGAAGUUCAGAUGACUCAAAACAAUCUAAAGUGAUACCAAAGAACAGAAUCCAUCACAAACUAGUAUUGCCCUCCAACACACCAAAUGUUCGCAGGACCAAGAGAACACGUUUGAAACCUUUGGAGUACUGGCGAGGAGAGCGAAUAGAUUAUCAAGGAAGGCCAUCAGGUAAAACUUAUUUAUGUUUUAAUGUCUGUCAAUAAAAAAUUUGUUUACUACGUGCCAGACACUGCACUACAUGUUUAUAUACAUUACCUUACUUAAUCAUCACCCCCCCAAAUUUUGAUAAUAGGAUUUAAAUUCAUUUUUGUCUGAUUAAUGUAGAGAUGCUGAUAUUUUCUCUUUGGUAGCUGAAUGUUGUUAUUCCUGUAUCAUCUGACAAGAUUUCCAAUUGCAUAAAAUAAAGCAUUAGAUUAGAACGUGAGAAAAUUGUAACUGGUAAAGGUAAAGUAGUUUUCAUUAUUUUUCCUAUUAACCAUUUUCCAUUUUCUCAUAGUUUUCUACAAAGUAGUGUAGGGUGGGCAAGAAAGUAUAGUGUUAAUCUUAGAGUUAUUUUCUUUCUUAUUUUUGUAGAGAUGAGGCCUUGCUAUGUUGUCCAGGCUGGUCUCGAUCUUAUGGGCUCAAGCAGUCCUCCUGCUUUGGCAUCUC